rnacentral:lncRNA from 1 species
GGCUGCGCAGUGGGAGUUGUAGCCAUGGGAACAACCUAGGGACCUGGCAAGGAAAGACUAGGCCAGACCUUAGCACCCCCUGUCAGGGACUUCCUGCUGGUUAAUCCUGCUUCCUCUGCCAGCAGGAAGUCAGCUAGCAAAGAAGCCCCAAUGAUAUAGUCUACAGGAGGCAGCCUGCCAGGGUGCAGAGCAGGGUAGAAAAUGGAUCGGAAGGGCAAAGGUGAGGUAGAGUUGGGAGACUUACCUGAGGUCACAUAGUCAGCUUCACCCGAUUGUCAGGAAAGUAACCCUGUGAACCCUAGCUGGGGAGAAGAACCUAAAGGCAAGAGAGAGAACCGUUCUAUAGGGCCCUGGAGGAUUUGCCAUCAACUGAAGGAAGACUGAAUCUUGUCUGCUCUGGGGAGGCACAGAGGAGCCUGUGACUUGUGAGUUCCAGUAAUCAUUGUACAUCUCUGCUUCUGCCUUUGCCAAUGAGCCUGAUUUUAGGCAGAGAAAGAAGAUUCUGCCUAACAAACAGCACACCAAAUACAGAGGCAAGUGUCUCUACAUUUUCAGAUACUAUAGAUGUGUCACUCUCAGAUGACGACCAGACCCCCUUGGUGCCCAACUGCCCAUCAGGCACAACGUCGUCACCAAGCAGAUAUCCAGAGUUUUUCAAGCAUUUAAUGUUUCUCGGAAUACAUUUUGUGAAACACUGUGCUACCCCUCACUGCCUUACUAGCCUCUAAUCACACUGACUGAGCUCUGGAGCUGCAAAGACAACAUGAUAUGGAACCGAAGAUGGAAGAAUGCCAAGCGCAGGCCUGUAGAUCAACUGCUGA